GACGAACGCUGGCGGCGCGCCUAACACAUGCAAGUCGAACGAGCGAGAGAGAGCUUGCUUUCUCAAGCGAGUGGCGAACGGGUGAGUAACGCGUGAGGAACCUGCCUCAAAGAGGGGGACAACAGUUGGAAACGACUGCUAAUACCGCAUAAGCCCACAGGUCGGCAUCGACCAGAGGGAAAAGGAGCAAUCCGCUUUGAGAUGGCCUCGCGUCCGAUUAGCUAGUUGGUGAGGUAACGGCCCACCAAGGCAACGAUCGGUAGCCGGACUGAGAGGUUGAACGGCCACAUUGGGACUGAGGCACGGCCCAGACUCCUACGGGAGGCAGCAGUGGGGAAUAUUGCACAAUGGGGGAAACCCUGAUGCAGCGACGCCGCGUGGAGGAAGAAGGUCUUCGGAUUGUAAACUCCUGUUGUUGAGGAAGAUAAUGACGGUACUCAACAAGGAAGUGACGGCUAACUACGUG
rnacentral:rRNA from 1 species